rnacentral:rRNA from 1 species
CGGGACGGGUGAGUAACGCGUGGGUAACCUGCCCUGUACAGGGGGAUAACAGUCAGAAAUGACUGCUAAUACCGCAUAAGACCACAGCACCGCAUGGUGCAGGGGUAAAAACUCCGGUGGUACAGGAUGGACCCGCGUCUGAUUAGCUGGUUGGUGAGGUAACGGCUCACCAAGGCGACGAUCAGUAGCCGACCUGAGAGGGUGACCGGCCACAUUGGGACUGAGACACGGCCCAG